CGCGCCGUCGCCCCCCGAGUGGUUGAGCUUCUUCGCGGAGGGAGGGAGUUUCCCGCCUCCGUCCCGUCGCUGUUGCGGUCUCUCUCGGCCGCCCGCGCGCGCAUGGGGAGGGAGGGCGGAGGGAGCAACCUCUCGGGUAUAAAGCGCUUCUUGCCGUGGCCCUUCGCGCACCAGACCUUGCGAAGAGAAGGAUGUCUCCGUCCGCAGGCCCGGCACCGACCGCAACCGGCUUCCUCUUGGCCCUGCUCUGCAGUUAUGCCUGCUUCCGAGGGGCAGAUUCGGCUCCCAAACAUCGCCCCGGCAUCGACUCUUCCCUCCGGUUCAAGCCUUCCUUGGGGCAAAGGCUGGUNGUCUCCUGCGAGGGCCACUCCACGUACCUGGACAGCGGCAUCAUCUACUGGCUGGCCAACGGCUCCUUCGUGGAAGAGCUCUACAAGGAGGGGGCCGUGAAGGAGGGGGAGCCCGAGGAAAAGUUUGAAGACAACUCCGUUUUCCUCAAACGGACGCUGACCUUCCGCUCCUUCUCGGAAAAGGACCGGGACACAACAUUUCAGUGCAUUGUCAUGGAUCCUUCCGGCCGAUCUCAGAAAACCGUCACCUGGGAAUCUAAGGAGCCACAGAGGAAAAGGACGGCUCAAGGCACCAACGACAGCGGGAGUGGGGUAUCAGAAGGCUACUGAGCCUGUUGAAGCCAGCGGUUGCCUCAUCUCGUUGGACCGCGGAAGAAGCAGUCCCACCCACGACCGUGAUUGAUGGAUAAGAACACUUUGAGAUUUCUGAAAUUCUGGACUCCAGAUGUUCCCGUAAUAAGUUGCAAUACUUCAUUCACUGGAAGCACUGGCUGCCUGCCCAGUGGGUUAACGCAGAAGAUGACAGGGCUGCUAAACUGCUUAAAAAGCUCCAUGAAAAUUGCCCUGAUAAACCAGGGCCAACAUGAUUUGUUCACCAUAAAUNUUUUUUUGCUGCAUUAUUGUCUCAUACACUGUAUUCAUGUUUUAGUGCACAUCAUGUAAGCAUAUAUUCUGCUCAUGUAUUCCUUUGCUGGUUCAUCUAUUCACGUAUUACUUUUUAGUUACUCAUUUGUGCCUGUAUGCCCUUCUUUAUUCAUGUACGCUGGUACUCAUGUUAUUUGUCUUGGGGGACCAUGUCAGGACUGUAUAUUCUUGCCCUUAUAUUGAGAGGUCACUGAAGCACUUGUGGGAUGAAAUGGAGACGGAGGAUUGCGAGUACGGAGGUUCCCAGGGGAAGCUGAGACAAGAAAGAACGUGGAGAGAGUAAGGGAGACAAGAAAUUACGUAGUCUUUACUUUGUAUGAGUCACUUUUGGUUACGGAUGUUGCUCUGUGCCACGGUUACUGGAGUUUNGAAUAAAAGAUUUCUUCUAAAUUGAAAGAAGUGGUUU
rnacentral:lncRNA from 1 species